GACGAACGCUGGCGGCGUGCUUAACACAUGCAAGUCGAACGGAAAGGCCCUGCUUUUGUGGGGUGCUCGAGUGGCGAACGGGUGAGUAACACGUGAGUAACCUGCCCUUGACUUUGGGAUAACUUCAGGAAACUGGGGCUAAUACCGGAUAGGAGCUCCUGCUGCAUGGUGGGGGUUGGAAAGUUUCGGCGGUUGGGGAUGGACUCGCGGCUUAUCAGCUUGUUGGUGGGGUAGUGGCUUACCAAGGCUUUGACGGGUAGCCGGCCUGAGAGGGUGACCGGCCACAUUGGGACUGAGAUACGGCCCAGACUCCUACGGGAGGGAGAAGGGGGGAAUAUUGCACCAUGGGCGGAAGCCUGAUGCAGCAACGCCGGGUGCGGGAUGACGGCCUUUGGGUUGUAAAACGCUUUCGCCUGUGACGAAGCGUGAGUGACGGUAAUGGGGAAAGAAGCACCGGCUAACUACGUG
rnacentral:rRNA from 1 species